GAACUUGGAGAGUGUUUGUUCACCAAAAGGUCGGUUGUUGUCAGUGGUGGGUGCCCAGCUGCUCUGGAAGCAGGCGAUCA
rnacentral:lncRNA from 1 species